CGCGGGUGUAGCUCAAUGGUAGAGCCCCAGCCUUCCAAGCUGGCCAUGCCGGUUCGAUCCCGGUCACCCGCUCCA
rnacentral:tRNA from 1 species